rnacentral:rRNA from 1 species
UACGGAGGGGGCUAGCGUUGUUCGGAAUUACUGGGCGUAAAGCGCACGUAGGCGGCUUUGUAAGUUAGAGGUGAAAGCCCAGGGCUACCAUCGGAAUGCCUUUAAGACUGCAUCGCUAGAAUUGUGGAGAGGUAGUGGAAUUCCGAGUGUAGAGGUGAAAUUCGUAGAUAUUCGGAAGAACACCAGUGGCGAAGGCGACUUACUGGACACAUAUUGACGCUGAGGUGGCGAAAGCGUGGGGAGCAAACAGG